GCAGAUAUGUUGUCUUGCAAGGUGACACCCAAAAGGAAAGAGGAAAACUAAUCGAUAACCCUGAAGAAUUAAGUGGCGAGUUGGAUGAUGCAGAAAAAGAGAUACUAGAACUGGAGCAACUUCUAAGGUGUAAAGUAUGUCUCGACAGUGAUGCAUGCAUCGUCUUCUUUCCUUGUCGUCACAUGGCGACAUGUGAAAACUGUGAAGGUUUUCUUCAUUGUUGUCCCGUGUGCAGAUCAUUUAUCGAAGAGGCAGUAAAAAUAAAUGAGGAGUAAUUGACUUAUCGAAAGAGAAAAUGAAAUCAGCUUUCUUGCGGUUUUGGGAAAUGCAUUAACUGUGUCAAGAAUUCUUAUAUUCAUUUUUGUACAUUUGUGUAUUCCUGGACGUAUAUUACUGUAACGAAUAUAUAUAUAAUUAUGUGUAAUUCUUUGCUUAAUUCUAUCGGAGAACAAUUAUGAACAAAAUAUUUGCAUGAAAUGAAAACGUUUAUAACUGUUUUAGAUUAAAUUGAAGAAAAAUAAGAAAGAUCGAAUAAGAUUGAUCGAAAGAUCAAAUAAGUUUUAUGAAAAUACUUUAACUCAAUAAAAAUGAACUUUAAUGAAAUUUUAGUUUGUAUAAGAAUAUGCUUAAAAAGUACCUUAGUUAAUAUUAUGGUAACACUUUUUUGAAAAAGAAGUCGACUAAACAAGCUGGCUUUACAUGCAUAUUACAAAGCGUAGAAAUUUGACUAAGUCAACAGAAUCGAGUACAUAAUACAAAACAUUCAAAUUGUAGAAUUGAAAUAAAAGACUUCUAUUUAUUUAAUCACAGAAAAUAAAAAGUUGAAGGUACAUUUUCUCUAAAAAAUGAUAUGUUUAAUGUCAAUUCUCAUUAACCAAAACUGAAUUAUAUUUCUUUUCUUAAGAGAACAUAAUCUUUGAAUAAAGUUUCUAAAAUUCA